AAGUCGUAACAAGGUAUCUGUAGGUGAACCUGCAGAUGGAUCAUUUCGAUGAAAACCUUUUUUCUUGAGGUGUGGCUCGCACCUGUCUAACUAAAAUUGAGCUACCUUUUUUCAACACGGUUGCAUCGGUUGGCCUGUCAAACAGUGCGGCGGCAAGAAAUUCAUUUUUCGUGCCUGCCAAGCUAGGCGACGGACCGACACUUAAUCAACACUUUUGAUGAUCUAGGAUUUGAAUGUAUAAAAGUUACUUUUUUUAUAACUAAAAAACAACUUUUGGCAACGGAUCUCUUGGUUCUCC
rnacentral:misc_RNA from 1 species